rnacentral:rRNA from 1 species
CCUACGGGAGGCAACAGUGAGGAAUAUUGGUCAAUGGACGCAAGUCUGAACCAGCCAUGCCGCGUGCAGGAAGACGGCUCUAUGAGUUGUAAACUGCUUUUGUACGAGGGUAAACGCAGAUACGCGUAUCUGUCUGAAAGUAUCGUACGAAUAAGGAUCGGCGAACUCCGUGCCAGCAGCCGCGGUAAUACGGAGGAUUCAAGCGUUAUCCGGAUUUAUUGGGGUUAAAGGGUUCGUAGGCGGUCGGAUAAGUUAGAGGUGAAAUCCCGCGGCUCAACUUCGGAAUUGCCUCUGAUACUGGUCGGCUAGAGAGGAGUUGCGGUAGGCGGAAUGUAUGGUGUAGCGGUGAAAUGCUUAGAGAUCAUACAGAACACCGAUUGCGAAGGCAGCAUACCAGGCUACUUCUGACGUUGAGGCACGAAAGCGUGGGGAGCGAACAGGAUUAGAUACCCGGGUAGUC